GAUGAACGCUGGCGGCGUGCCUAAUACAUGCAAGUCGAGCGAACGGACGAGAAGCUUGCUUCUCUGAUGUUAGCGGCGGACGGGUGAGUAACACGUGGAUAACCUACCUAUAAGACUGGGAUAACUUCGGGAAACCGGAGCUAAUACCGGAUAAUAUUUUGAACCGCAUGGUUCAAAAGUGAAAGGCGGUCUUGCUGUCACUUAUAGAUGGAUCCGCGCUGCAUUAGCUAGUUGGUAAGGUAACGGCUUACCAAGGCAACGAUGCAUAGCCGACCUGAGAGGGGAGUCGCCCACACGGGACAUGAGAAACGGUCCAGACCCCAAGGGGGGGCAGAAGUAGGGAAUCUCCCGAAAGGGGCGAAAGCCUGCCGGAGCAACGCCGGGUGGGUGAGGAAGGGCUUCGGAUCGUAAAACGUUGUUUUUAGGGAAAAACAUAUGGGUAAGUAACGGGCAACAUUUUGGCGGUACCAAACCAAAAAGCCCCGGCAAACCACGU
rnacentral:rRNA from 1 species